CCUACGGGUGGCAGCAGUGAGGAAUAUUGGUCAAUGGACGAGAGUCUGAACCAGCCAAGUAGCGUGAAGGAUGACUGCCCUAUGGGUUGUAAACUUCUUUUAUAUGGGAAUAAAAUGUUCCACGUGUGGGAUUUUGUAUGUACCAUAUGAAUAAGGAUCGGCUAACUCCGUGCCAGCAGCCGCGGUAAUACGGAGGAUCCGAGCGUUAUCCGGAUUUAUUGGGUUUAAAGGGAGCGUAGGUGGAUGGUUAAGUCAGUUGUGAAAGUUUGCGGCUCAACCGUAAAAUUGCAGUUGAAACUGGCAGUCUUGAGUACAGUAGAGGUGGGCGGAAUGCGUGGUGUAGCGGUGAAAUGCUUAGAUAUCACGAAGAACUCCGAUUGCGAAGGCAGUUCACUGGACUGCAACUGACACUGAGGCUCGAAAGUGUGGGUAUCAAACAGGAUUAGAUACCCUAGUAGUC
rnacentral:rRNA from 1 species